rnacentral:rRNA from 1 species
CCUACGGGCGGCAGCAGUGAGGAAUAUUGGUCAAUGGACGAGAGUCUGAACCAGCCAAGUAGCGUGAAGGAUGACUGCCCUAUGGGUUGUAAACUUCUUUUAUAUGGGAAUAAAACGUUCCACGUGUGGGAUUUUGUAUGUACCAUAUGAAUAAGGAUCGGCUAACUCCGUGCCAGCAGCCGCGGUAAUACGGAGGAUCCGAGCGUUAUCCGGAUUUAUUGGGUUUAAAGGGAGCGUAGGUGGAUUGUUAAGUCAGUUGUGAAAGUUUGCGGCUCAACCGUAAAAUUGCAGUUGAAACUGGCAGUCUUGAGUACAGUAGAGGUGGGCGGAAUGCGUGGUGUAGCGGUGAAAUGCUUAGAUAUCACAAAGAACUCCGAUUGCGAAGGCAGUUCACUGGACUGCAACUGACACUGAGGCUCGAAAGUGUGGGUAUCAAACAGGAUUAGAUACCCGGGUAGUC